rnacentral:rRNA from 1 species
GUCUCUUUGUAAAAUAUAAAUAGAGAGUCGGGCCUGCUCGGUGAAUAAGUUUUUAACAGCUGCGGUAUUUUAACUGUACUAAGGUAGCAUAAUAAUUUGCCUUAUAAUUUGAGGCUAGAAUGAAUGGUUUGACGAAGGUUAAUCUGUCUCCACCUUAUUUUUUAGAAGUUAAUUUUUAAAGUGAAAAAGCUUAAAUCUUUCAAAGGGACGAGAAGACCCUAAUGAGCUUAUAAUUUUAUUAUCAUUAUUUAAAACAUUUAGGUGGUGGUAUAUAAAUUUUAAUUGGGGUGAUUAAGGAAUAAAUUGUGUAUAGUAACUUCCUUAAAUUAGGUAUUUGUAGAUAAAGUAACCAAUGUAAUAUUGCUUAUAGUAUAGUUACCAUAGGGAUAACAGCGUAAUUUGUUUAGAGAGUUCUUAUUGAAAAACGAGAUUGCGACCUCGAUGUUGGAUUAAAGUAACCCUAGGGUGCAGAAGCUUUAGUAGGUAAAUCUGUUCGAUUUUUAAUACUUUACA